rnacentral:misc_RNA from 1 species
UGAGCCGAAUUAGGAGCUCGGG